UACAGGGGGGGCAAGCGUUGUUCGGAAUUACUGGGCGUAAAGGGCUCGUAGGUGGCCGACUAAGUCAGACGUGAAAUCCCUCAGCUUAACUGGGGAACUGCGUCUGAUACUGGAUGGCUUGAGUUUGGGAGAGGGAUGCGGAAUUCCAGGUGUAGCGGUGAAAUGCGUAGAUAUCUGGAGGAACACCGGUGGCGAAGGCGGCGUCCUGGACCAACACUGACGCUGAGGAGCGAAAGCCAGGGGAGCAAACGGG
rnacentral:rRNA from 1 species